UCGAUCGUCUGAGCUGGGUAUAGGGGCGAAAGACUAAUCGAUCCAUCUAGUAGCUGGUUCCAUCCGAAGUUUCCCUCAGGAUAGCUGGCGCCGAUGUGUCCCGGCCCGUUCGCGGGCGUACGGACGCCGGUGGGACUCCGCGCUGUACGGCGCGGUAACAACACGCUCGUAACACGGAGGAUGUCUCAUACGGUAAAGCGAAUGAUUAGAGGACAUUGGGGCCGAAACGACCUCAACCUAUUCUCAAACUAUAAAUGAGUGAGAUCGCCGGGCUUUACUGGUACACCGCGUGAACCGCGUGCGAAGCCGGCGACGGAACCCUAGGCGCUUAGUGGGCCAUUUUUGGUAAGCAGAACUGGCGCUGCGGGAUGAACCGAACGCCGAGUUAAGGCGCCGAAAUCGACGCGUAUUCAGAGACCAUGAAAGGCGUUGGUUGCUGAUGACAGCAGGACGGUGGCCAUGGAAGUCGGAAUCCGCUAAGGAGUGUGUAACAACUCACCUGCCGAAGCAACUAGCUCUGAAAAUGGAUGGCGCUGGAGCGUCGUGCCUAUACUCGGCCGUCGACGGCAUAGUGGGGCCAGUCGUCGCUCGCGGCGGCCGGUCCCGGCAAGCCUCGACGAGUAGGAUGGCGCGGCGGUGUGCGUCGAAGGGCAGGUCGCGAGACCGCCUGGAGCCGCCGUCGGUGCAGAUCUUGGUGGUAGUAGCAAAUACUCGAGAGGGGCCCUCGGGGGCUGCCGUGGAGAAGGGUUUCUUGUGAACAGCCGUUGUCCAAGAGUCAGUCGAUCCUAAGCCCGGGGAGAGAUCCUCGUACCACGGGCGAAGGCGUUUUCGAAUCGCCCUUGGGGCGAGAGGGAAUCCGGUUCGUAUUCCGGAACCCGACGCGGAACCGCUCCCUAGUGUUCGGGGCUCUUUUGUCUCGUCUGGGUAACCAGAAUGAACUCGAAGAAGCCGCCGGGGGAUCUGGGUAGAGUUCUCUUUUCUCUGUGAGCGUUGUACGUCCCUGGAAUCCUCUAGCCGGGCGAUAGGGACGCGAGCGCGAAGAGCACCGCUCGUUGCGGCGGUGUCCGUGAUCCCCACGCGGACCUUGAAAAUUCGAGAGAGGGCCACG
rnacentral:ncRNA from 1 species